GGCCUGAUUUGCCCCAGCUGUGUUUCCCUCCUGUUACCCAUUCCCUGAUUGCUCCCUCUGUGUAUUUAAGCCCUGUGUUUCAGUUUGUCCGUGUUGCGAUCUACCGUUCAUUUUGCUGUGUGUUCCGUCUGCCUGUUUCAUGUCCCCUUUAUAGUUACUCAGCAUUAAUUUUCAUCUUGGAACUCUGCUUUGCAGGCCAUUUUUGCCCAGUCUAUUUCUUAUUGUGGAUUCAUGUACUCUGACCUUAACUAAGGCCCUUUAAACUUGAAGUCAAUGGAAAGAAGAUUGCUGCUGAGAAAAUCAUAAAGUCCAAAAGCACCAGUAUGGUCACAUUUCUG
ensembl:lncRNA